rnacentral:rRNA from 1 species
CCCUUAGAUGUCCUGGGCCGCACGCGCGCUACACUGACAUGUUCAACAAGCCUCCUAGUUCGACAGGAUUUGGGAAAUCUUUGAACGCAUGUCGUGAUAGGGAUAGAUCAUUGCAAUUAUUGGUCUUCAACGAGGAAUUCCUAGUAGACGUAGUUCAUCAGACUGCAUCGAUUACGUCCCUGCCCUUUGUACACACCGCCCGUCGCUCCUACCGAUUGAAUGCUCAGGUGAGCCAUUCGGACUUUCAUCAUACUGGUUUCCAGUUUUGAUGAAGGAAAGUCUUGCGAACCUUAUCAUUUAGAGGAAGGAGAAGUCGUAACA